GUGACUAAUGAGUGGGUGGCAUAUCCAGAGGGAUACGCCAAGCAAGAUGAUGAUGUGCAAAGGCAGGAAGAACUCAAGCUCCUUUCUUAGGGCUGGGAACAACAGUACUGGGGCUUGAACGUGGGCCUCAAGCACGCUGGGUGACAGGUAACUGAAAGCGCAGGUACGCGGGAGGCUAUAGCAUUCACCGUCCCUUCCUCUGACAGUUUUCUCUCAAGCACACACUGCACCUAAGCACUUAGAGGUUCAUGGCCUCCUCCUCCUCUGCACAGGCCUAAGCGGAGGAGGAAAGUGACCGGGAGAAGAUGCUCGAGAUACCCGAGGUUACACCGCAAUACGGGGCACACCCGAGGAGCCAAGCCCGGGCUCCACCUGGCGGAGGGCGGGCUGGGCCCAGGCCCUGAAGAACCCUAUCUCCGGCCGGGGUGAGGGGCCCCGUCUCCUCGGAACGCAGACUGCCUUCUCAAGUUAACUUUCCUCCGCAGCCCCGGGAAGCUGCCGUAACUCGCAGCGCCGUACCGAUCCCACCCGCCGGGAAGCCGCGGCCGGGUUAUCCGAACCUGAAUACUUACCUCCGGUACCGCCGUGCCGCCGCACCGGAAGUGAUCCUCGUGACCCGGAAGCGAUGUGCCCGGAGCAGCGGCAGAUUCCGCUCACCGGGCUUUACCCGGCACGCGGCUUCCUCGCCGGCCUCCUCGUGCUCUUUCCUAAAUACACACUGAAGGUUUCCACUGCA